UGUGUGUGUGUGUGUGUGUGUGUGUGUGUGUGUGUGUGUGUGUGUGUGUGUGUGUAUGUGUGUGUAUGUCUGUGUCUGUGUGUGGGGGGGUUUGCAUAUAUACGGGGGAAUUAAUGUGAUAAAACUUGCUAUUUUGAUGUUGUGGGGACCAUUUUUUUGUCUCCACAAGGGAAACUCAAUUUUAUAAAGAUUUGUGACUUGCAAUCAAAAAACUAAAAUUGUCAAAAUGCUUGUAUUUUGUUUGGUUUCUUAUGGUAAAGGUUGGGGCUGGGUGGGGGUUAAGGUUUAGCUACGUCAGUUUUCCACUGUAAAUUAUGUGAGCCGCACCUGAGGCGUACUGAGCUCACAUGGUCCUGCUUACUAGCAGGAUCAAAAGCACGACCAAACUGAGCUGGUUCAGUUACCCCCAUCUGAUUGGUCUAAAUGCACAGAGAUACCAGUGUUCUACACACGGAUCAUCCAUCCAUCCAUUUUCUGAAACCGCUUGUCCUUUUCAGGGUCGCGGGGGAUCUGGGGCCUAUCCCGGAUACAUGUAUUAUCUGAAGGAUAAAGCUUUUAUUCUAGAACUAGAGAAUUUCUAACCUUCUAUUAAUAAGUAUUAUAGAACAGUUGAACGGAAUAGAUUCGUAAUGCAAAUUUUCACAAGCGAAUGCUAAUUAUGGUAGCGUUUCGUACUUGUAUCAUGCGGUGAUUCUUACAGACAUGCUAGCGAAAAUUAGCAUACAGUAAAAAAAUAAUAAUUGCACGUAGUAAAUCAUGAAGUACGCUAUGUGAACAGUAAAUAAGCUUUUCUUUGCUAUUACAUCACUGUCACUCUCCAAAUUUAAAAAUGCCAGUAUUGAGCUGAGCUUGCUAUGAUGGGAAACUGAAGCAAGCUGGAACCGUGCAGUGAUUGGUCUCUUUUCGAGGUACGAGUCGGGUAGGGGUCGGUUCCUGUAUGCCAGUGGAAAAGCAAAUUAGGGCUUUUCCCAUAAAAACUAAAGGACAAUCCCUACAAACAUAUGAAUGCAAACAUGUGGUGCAUGUGUGUGUCAGAGAACAUCUGUCAGUGUGAAUGUGUGAGUUUUUCUGGAGUAUGUGUUCCUCUGUAUUACCAAUAUCUGAUAAGGGAAUAUAAUCUCGAGGUAGGUGUUCUCAUUUUGAUAGCCCUCAGUAAUAAGGUCCUUGUUCUUACAGUGAUAGCCCAGGUGCAGUGUCAGCCCUUUGUGAAAAGUUUCCCUGUUCUUAUAGUGAUGGCCCAGGUACAGUGACAGCCCUCUGUGAUAAGAACCCUGUUCUUACACAAUAGCCUGGGUACAAUGUCAGCCCUCAGUAAUAAGGUCCCUAUUCUUACAGUGAUAGCCCAGGUACAGUGUCAGCCCUUUGUGAAUAGUUUCCCUGUUCUUAUAGUGAUGGCCCAGGUACAGUGAUAGCCCUCUGUGAUAAGAACCCUGUUCUUACACAAUAGCCUGGGUACAAUGUCAGCCCUCAGUAAUAAGGUCCCUAUUCAUACAGUGAUAGCCCAGGUACAGUGUCAGCCCUUUGUGAAAAGUUUCCCUGUUCUUAUAGUGAUAGCCCAGGUACAGUGUCAGCCAUCUGUGAUAAGGUUCCUAUUCUUACAUUGAUAACCCAGGAACAAUGUCAGUCGUCUGUGAUAAGAUUCCUGUUCUUACGGUGAUAGCCUGGGUAUAGUGUCAGCCCUCUGUGAUAAGGUUUCUGUUUUUACAGUGAUAGUCCAGUUAUUUUUUUUAGUUAUGUUUAGUAAACAGUGUCACUCUUAUUUUAAAUGAUGAAAUCUUUACUGUUCAAGAAAUAUUUUAAAAUCUGUUAUAUGACAUAGUUUCACAAUGUGACUCUAGCAGGGGUAUGCAGUCUUAUCCACAAAGGGCCAGUGUGUUUGCAACUCCCUAAUUAGAUUACAUAUUAGAGGACUGAUUGGCUGAAGAGGCCUCACACCUGGGUUUGUACAGCUGACCUAAAGGUUACCCCAAAAUCCUGCAUAUACAAGGGCCCUUUGCAGAUAAGAUUGCCCACACCUGCAUUAUAGCAUGCGUGCACAUCGCAAUGUCACAAUAUGCAUUGCCCCCUGCUCCUGCCCCCUCCUGCCAUUAGGGCAUUUUAUACCCCCCCCCCCCCAGACACCACUGAUUUUCAUGGACUGUUUGUGUUACAGAUCUCACUUCUAAGCCCAUCUCCAUUCUUCUCAAUCUUAUCAGGAUGAGCAGUCAUUCUCCUCCCCAUCCUGUGACCAGGGUCUGUGUUGUACCUUUCAGCUUUCUGCUUGUCUGUUUCAGGGAAGCAGGCAUUUUUAUAGAAGCCACUCCCCUCACCCACUAUAAUCCCAUUGGUUUUACUCCCUGAUACCAACUGGUAUGCAUAAUGCUAACCUCUUCAUCUCUAGAUCUUUAUCCCAAUACUCCCCAGUCUGUCCCUUGAACCUCUUUCUUUUCAAUCUUCUAUAAUAAUAAUAAUAACAAUAACAAUAAUCAUUAUUAUUAUUUAAUCAUCCCAUGAUAAUUUCCUUCUUUGUGUGUAUUUAACGCCUGUGUUAUGCUUCAGUCCCCAGUCACUCUCAGACCUUCCCUUUCCAAACACACCCCCUGCCCCCCCCCCCCCCCCCC